rnacentral:rRNA from 1 species
UUCCGGUUGAUCCCGCCGGAGGCCACUGCUAUCGGAGUUCGAUUAAGCCAUGCGAGUCGAGAGGUGCAAGACCUCGGCAUACUGCUCAGUAACACGUGGAUAAUCUACCCUGCGGAGGGGGAUAACCCCGGGAAACUGGGGAUAAUACCCCAUAGACUAUGGAUGCUGGAAUGCUCUGUAGCCGAAAGGUCCGCCGCCGCAGGAUGAGUCUGCGGCCGAUUAGGUUGUUGUUGGGGUAACGGCCCAACAAGCCUGUAAUCGGUACGGGUUGUGGGAGCAAGAGCCCGGAGAUGGAUUCUGAGACACGAAUCCAGGCCCUACGGGGCGCAGCAGGCGCGAAAACUUUGCAAUGCGGGAAACCGUGACAAGGGAACUCCGAGUGCCCGUAAAUUCGGGCUGUCCGCCAGUUUAAAUCACUGGUGAAGAAAGGGCCGGGCAAGACCGGUGCCAGCCGCCGCGGUAAUACCGGCGGCUCGAGUGGUGGCCACUAUUACUGGGCUUAAAGCGUUCGUAGCUGGUCUGUUAAGUCUCUGGGGAAAUCUUCCGGCUUAACCGGAAGGCGUCUCAGGGAUACUGGCAGACUAGGGACCGGGAGAGGUGAGGGGUACUCCAGGGGUAGGAGUGAAAUCCUGUAAUCCUUGGGGGACCACCUGUGGCGAAGGCGCCUCACCAGAACGGCUCCGACAGUGAGGAACGAAAGCUGGGGGAGCAAACCGGAUUAGAUACCCGGGUAGUCCCAGCUGUAAACGAUGCGCGUUAGGUGUAUCGGUGACCACGAGUCACCGAGGUGCCGAAGAGAAAUCGUGAAACGUGCCGCCUGGGAAGUACGGUCGCAAGGCUGAAACUUAAAGGAAU